CAGGAUGAACGCUGGCGGCGUGCUUAACACAUGCAAGUCGAACGAACCUUCGGGUUAGUGGCGGACGGGUGAGUAACGCGUGGGAAUCUGCCCUCAGGAGGGGGAUAACGGCUGGAAACGGCCGCUAAUACCCCAUAUGCCGAGAGGUGAAAUGAAUUUCGCCUGAGGAUGAGCCCGCGUCUGAUUAGCUAGUUGGUGUGGUAAUGGCUCACCAAGGCUUCGAUCAGUAGCUGGUCUGAGAGGAUGAUCAGCCACACUGGGACUGAGACACGGCCCAGACUCCUACGGGAGGCAGCAGUGGGGAAUUUUCCGCAAUGGGCGAAAGCCUGACGGAGCAACGCCGCGUGAGGGAUGAAGGCCUCUGGGCUGUAAACCUCUUUUUUCAAGGAAGAAGACCUGACGGUACUUGAAGAAUAAGCCACGGCUAAUUCCGUGCCAGCAGCCGCGGUAAUACGGGAGUGGCAAGCGUUAUCCGGAAUUAUUGGGCGUAAAGCGUCCGCAGGCGGCCCUGAAAGUCUGUCGUUAAAGCGUGGAGCUCAACUCCAUUUAAGCGAUGGAAACUACAGGGCUAGAGUGUGGUAGGGGCAGAGGGAAUUCCCGGUGUAGCGGUGAAAUGCGUAGAUAUCGGGAAGAACACCAGUGGCGAAGGCGCUCUGCUGGGCCAUAACUGACGCUCAUGGACGAAAGCCAGGGGAGCGAAAGGGAUUAGAUACCCCUGUAGUCCUGGCCGUAAACGAUGAACACUAGGUGUCGGGGGAAUCGACCCCCUCGGUGUCGUAGCCAACGCGUUAAGUGUUCCGCCUGGGGAGUACGCACGCAAGUGUGAAACUCAAAGGAAUUGACGGGGGCCCGCACAAGCGGUGGAGUAUGUGGUUUAAUUCUAUGCAACGCGAAGAACCUUACCAGGGUUUGACAUCCUGCGAAUCCCUUGGAAACGAGGGAGUGCCUUCGGGAGCGCAGAGACAGGUGGUGCAUGGCUGUCGUCAGCUCGUGUCGUGAGAUGUUGGGUUAAGUCCCGCAACGAGCGCAACCCACGUCGUUAGUUGCCAGCAUUCAGUUGGGCACUCUAGCGAGACCGCCGGUGAUAAACCGGAGGAAGGUGUGGAUGACGUCAAGUCAUCAUGCCCCUUACAUCCUGGGCUACACACGUACUACAAUGCUACGGACAAAGGGCAGCAAGCUCGCGAGAGUUAGCAAAUCCCAUAAACCGUGGCUCAGUUCAGAUCGUAGGCUGCAACUCGCCUACGUGAAGGAGGAAUCGCUAGUAAUCGCAGGUCAGCAUACUGCGGUGAAUACGUUCCCGGGCCUUGUACACACCGCCCGUCACACCAUGGAAGUUGGCCACGCCCGAAGUCGUUACUCCAACCC
rnacentral:rRNA from 1 species